UACAGAGGGUGCAAGCGUUUGUUCGGAAUUAUUGGGCGUAAAGCGCGUGUAGGCGGCUUUGCAAGUCGGAUGUGAAAUCCCCAGGCUCAACCUGGGAACUGCAUCCGAUACUGGAUGGCUUGAAUCCGGGGAGAGGGAUGCAGAAUUCCAGGUGUAGCGGUGAAAUGCGUAGAUAUCUGGAGGAAUACCGGUGGCGAAGGCGGCAUCCUGGACCGGCAUUGACGCUGAGGGAGCGAAAAGCUAGGGGG
rnacentral:rRNA from 1 species